UACGUAGGGUGCAAGCGUUGUCCGGAAUUAUUGGGCGUAAAGAGCUCGUAGGCGGUCUGUCGCGUCUGCUGUGAAAACCUGGGGCUUAACUCCGGGCCUGCAGUGGGUACGGGCAGACUAGAGUGCGGUAGGGGAGACUGGAAUUCCUGGUGUAGCGGUGAAAUGCGCAGAUAUCAGGAGGAACACCGGUGGCGAAGGCGGGUCUCUGGGCCGUAACUGACGCUGAGGAGCGAAAGCGUGGGGAGCGAACAGG
rnacentral:rRNA from 1 species